GGAAAAGGCUCUAAGAGAAAAUACCACCAACUUCAAAUACCACUUUUAUCCCGGGAAGCUACCUUAAAAAUUUGUUUUCCGAGAUACUAUCACUGUUAC